rnacentral:lncRNA from 1 species
UGUUAUGUGGCUCUUUCAAUUUUUUUAAUAGAAAAAGUGAUUUUUCUGUGCACUAUUUGAGUUUAUUCUGUUCCUUAGGGCCUGUUUAAUCUCCUGAAAAUAAGUGUUAUAAUACAGACCCAGCACCUAAAGAACACUUAAAGAAAAGACUUUGAGCACCCUUUAUAUAACUCUGAUGUUUGGCAAUUAUUCUGGUUUAUGAGAUUGGUUUUCUGUUAUCCGAUUAAAAAUUUUCUGAAACAAAUCAAUGGAUGUACAUUACAUAUACAUUAGAGUUCCAGGGCAGUACAUUUAUCCUUCUCACGAACAUUACCAACAAUGCAUCAGGACUUACAAGUAUAUUUAAAAUUUCGUUUCUCUUAGGUAAAUGUAUUUUCACUGGUUUUUAAUGUUCAUCAAUGGAUUUCAUGAUUUCUAAAUUUAAUUAAGUAAGAAAAAAAUUGCAAUGAGUCUCUGAGUACAUUUUUAUUUUUUAUGGUUCCUUAUUAUCGUAGACACGUUCUCGAUUUUUGACAUUUUUGGUAGAAUACUAUCUACUUAGGAAACUUUAGUCCAAGUUUUUUUUGGAUUACUUUCAUUUCGCUAUAAUAACUUUACUCCCAUAUUUGCUUGAAAUCAUAAUAUCCCCAUGCAUCAGUUCUAUAAAACAUUCAAUUGACUAUAUUUCUAUAGGAUUUCCAUACCAUCUACUUAGAAUUUUGCUUCAUGUUGUUUAUGGUUAACUUUCAUUUCUCUACAAUAGCUUGAUUCCCAUAUUUUGUCCCUUGUGGGAGAAUAAUAACAUCAUUUAUCGAUUCUAUAAAAUAUUCCACUGUAUUUGUAUGUCUUCCUUUAUGUAUAUUUUAUUAUGGUAUCGUUCUUCUAUAUUACUCUUUGCUUGCGCAAUUUCUUGCACAGAAUUUUAGUUUUGAUGGAUUCUUUUUCAUGUUAUUUUUCUCAGAUCAAAUGCCACAAAUUUCUAUAAUUAUACAGUUUUGUUUGUGUCUAAAAAUAAUUUAAACACACAAUAACACACUUGAACAAAAAUCUCAAAACAAGGACCAAUUCCUGGCGCAUUCGCCAAUUAUUCAAAAAGCUUGACUCGUCCACAUAAGUUCACAGAUAACACAUAAUCCAGAUGGCUCCUUACGUGUUAAAAAUUGUCACCCCAAUUUCACUCCAAUUUGGAAAAAUAUUGGAGUGACGUUUGAAUAAUCUGAAAUUUUUAGAUUCCUUUUCUAACUUUUUUGGGAGGUUUUGCUUCUCUUGCACAGAUGUCGCUUGCACUUCAGUUGCGUGGUUGCCAAACGUUAUAUCGAAAUAUAUUUCAUUUCAUUAUGAAUAUAUAAAAUUAAAAAUUAUGUAAUUUAUAAACAUGAAAUAGAUAUGGAUGUUAGGUAAUACCGGAUGUUAAAUUAAUAUAUAAAUAUUUAACUUAAUACGUACAUUAUUAUUUUAUUAAUUUAUCGUCACACGUCAUUUACCAGUUGCCUAAUUACGAAAAGUUUCAUAUGAUAUUAACCUCAAAAAUGAUUUUUGAAAACAAACAACAACAAAUAACUCAAAGAAAUAACUACAUACUACAUAAUAAUAACUGAUAAUAAUGACUUUUAAUGGUAUAAAGGCUGAUGAAGUUUUAGACAACCAAUACAAGAUUCAGAACUCGGCAUCGUGAUAAACAAGUAAAAUUGUACAUUCAGGAACUCGUUUAAAUAUUAUAGGUUGAUUGAAGAAUAAUCUACAAUUGAUUAGAGCCUAUGACGAUGCGAAGAUAAUUAAUCACCUAACUUUAAGAAACCAGCCUAAAGAAGUUUACAUGCAUCUCAUCUAACCAUUAUAGAUCAGUAGUGAUUUUUCAUAAUUUGAAUGAACUCACAGAUAGCAAUGGGGCACCGCAC